GCGAGCCGCUGCUCCGCGUAUGUGAGUGUGUUUGUGUGCGUCUGUGUGCCCCGGCAGCGCGCGAACUGCGCGGCAGGCGCAGCAAUCCGCGGCUGCGGGUACCGCGCUGUGCUGAGAGCGGGAGUGCGACCCGGAGGGGUGGAGGGCCUCGGAACACAACCUGAGUGCGUGUUGGUUACUAUUAAAAAAAAAAUAAAAGUCAUUUGUUUGUUGGAGUUAUAUUGUAGGUUUGGAAGGCACCCACCACUUCCAUCAGGGCCAGCCCCAUCGCUGUCGCACGCUGGGCUCCUACCCCGGAGCUGCAGCGCACAAUCUCAUGUUACACAGAACCUUGACAUGACGGAGCAACUUUAUUGGACAUCAGCAUCAUUCUGACGACAACACUGUCUUCAGCACAGGUCACCAGAGUCUGACAGGGUACAUGAAACCCAAACGCCCAUCCUACCAGAGGCCAAUAAAAACUUACCAGUUUCUCUUAUAA